UGGCCCUUGGGAGUCGUACUUUCCAAUUUUCACACAGGGAAAGGUCCCUUACGGCUCCUGGUUUGACCAUACCAAAGAGAUGUGCAAGGGAGUGGACAGUAAUUCCAAUUGCUUAUUUCUUACUUACGAAGAAAUGCUUAAGGAUUUACCAGCCGCUGUGAAAAAAAUAAAUUCCUUUCUUGGAUUUGAAAGAUCAGACGUAUUUUUGG